rnacentral:rRNA from 1 species
UCCUGAAGGAACGUUAAAGACGAUGACGUUGAUAGGUCGGGUGUGUAAGUGUAGCGAUACAUUGAGCUAACCGAUACUAAUGAACCGUGAGGCUUAACCUUACAACGCCGAAG